AUUGAACGCUGGCGGCAGGCCUAACACAUGCAAGUCGAACGAGUGGCGGACGGGUGAGUAAUGUCUUGGAAACUGCCUGAUGGAGGGGGAGAACUAAUGGAAACGGUAGCUAAUACCGCAUACCAUCGGAUGUGCCCAGAUGGGAUUAGCUAGUAGGGGGGGUAACGGCUCACCUAGGCGACGAUCCCUAGCUGGUCUGAGAGGAUGACCCGCCACACUGGAACGGAGACACGGUCCAGACUCCUACGGGAGGCAGCAGUGGGGAAUAUUGCACAAUGGGGGCAAGCCUGAUGCAGCCAUGCCGCGGGUAGGAAGAAGGACUUCGGGUUGGAAAGUACUUUCAGCGGGGAGGCGGUACCAACAGAAUAAGCACCGGCUAACUUCGUGCCAGCAGCCGCGGUAAUAC
rnacentral:rRNA from 1 species